UACGUAGGGUGCGAGCGUUGUCCGGAAUUACUGGGCGUAAAGAGCUCGUAGGUGGUUUGUCGCGUUGUUCGUGAAAUCUCACGGCUUAACUGUGAGCGUGCGGGCGAUACGGGCAGACUAGAGUACUGCAGGGGAGACUGGAAUUCCUGGUGUAGCGGUGGAAUGCGCAGAUAUCAGGAGGAACACCGGUGGCGAAGGCGGUUCUCUGGGCAUGUCCUGACGCUGAGGAGCGAAAGUGUGGGGAGCGAACAGG
rnacentral:rRNA from 1 species